UACAGAGGGUGCGAGCGUUAAUCGGAAUUACUGGGCGUAAAGCGUGCGCAGGCGGUUUUGUAAGCCCGAUGUGAAAUCCCCGGGCUUAACCUGGGAAUGGCAUUUGGGACUGCAAGGCUUGAGUGCGGCAGAGGAGACUAGAAUUCCUGGUGUAGCAGUGAAAUGCGUAGAUAUCAGGAGGAAUACCGAUGGCGAAGGCAGGUCUCUGGGCUGACACUGACGCUCAUGCACGAAAGCGUGGGGAGCAAACAGG
rnacentral:rRNA from 1 species